GCACACGGGCCCGGGCUGGGGCGGCGUUGCCAAGGUGACCCCGGGCUGGGCAGGCAGUGGGCAGCGGCGACGACACCAUGAGCAGCCGGAAGCGCAGCUUCACCUUCGGCGCCUAUGGAGGGGUGGACAAAUCCUUCUCCCUUCGACAGAGUGUGUGGAGGAGUGAUGGAGCCAAGCAGAACUUCCCGCAUGCACUAGACCUGUUACUAGUGGACUCAGUUCCCUCAUACCCUGCUUCACCCUACCCUAAGAACACAGAUCUGUUUGAGAUGAUUGAAAAGAUGCAGGGCAGCAGGAUGGAUGAACAGCGAUGCUCCUUCCCGCCACCCCUCAAAACGGAGGAGGACUACAUUCCCUACCCAAGUGUUCAUGAGGUUUUGGGGCGAGAAGGGCCUUUCCCCCUCAUCCUACUGCCCCAGUUUGGGGGCUACUGGAUUGAAGGCACCAACCAUGAAAUCACCAGCAUCCCUGAGACAGAGCCACUGCAGUCUCCCACCACCAAGGUCAAGCUGGAGUGCAACCCCACAGCCCGGAUCUACCGGAAACACUUUCUUGGCAAGGAACACUUCAAUUACUAUUCACUGGACACUGCGCUUGGCCACCUGGUCUUCUCCCUCAAGUAUGAUGUCAUUGGGGAUCAGGAGCACUUGCGGCUGCUGCUUAGGACCAAGUGUCGGACCUACCAUGAUGUCAUUCCCAUCUCCUGCCUCACCGAGUUCCCCAAUGUGGUCCAGAUGGCAAAGUUGGUAUGUGAAGAUGUCAACGUGGAUCGAUUCUACCCUGUGCUCUACCCCAAGGCCUCCAGGCUCAUCGUCACCUUUGACGAACAUGUUAUCAGCAAUAACUUCAAGUUUGGAGUCAUUUAUCAGAAGCUAGGGCAGACGUCUGAGGAAGAACUCUUCAGCACCAAUGAGGAGAGUCCUGCCUUCGUGGAGUUCCUUGAGUUUCUGGGCCAGAAAGUCAAAUUGCAGGACUUCAAGGGGUUCCGAGGAGGCCUGGACGUGACUCACGGGCAGACGGGGACCGAGUCCAUAUACUGCAACUUCCGCAACAAGGAGAUCAUGUUUCACGUGUCCACCAAGCUGCCAUACACAGAAGGGGACGCCCAGCAGUUGCAGCGAAAGAGACAUAUCGGGAACGACAUCGUUGCUGUGGUCUUCCAGGACGAAAACACGCCCUUCGUGCCCGACAUGAUUGCCUCCAACUUCCUGCAUGCCUAUGUGGUGGUGCAGGCAGAGGGGGGUGGCCCUGAUGGCCCCCUGUACAAGGUCUCUGUCACCGCGAGAGACGAUGUGCCCUUCUUUGGGCCUCCCCUCCCGGACCCUGCUGUGUUCAGGAAGGGGCCUGAGUUCCAGGAAUUUCUGCUGACAAAGUUGAUCAACGCCGAGUACGCUUGCUACAAAGCAGAGAAAUUUGCCAAACUGGAGGAGCGGACACGUGCUGCCCUUCUGGAGACACUCUAUGAAGAACUCCACAUCCACAGCCAGUCCAUGAUGGGCCUGGGUGGCGACGAUGAUAAGAUGGAGAACGGCAGCGGUGGGGGCGGCUUCUUCGAGUCUUUCAAGAGAGUCAUCCGGAGCCGCAGCCAGUCCAUGGAUGCCAUGGGACUGACCAACAAGAAGGCCAACACCGUGACUACUAGUCACAGUGGGAGCUUCACCCCCAACAACCCUGACCUGGCCAAGGCAGCUGGAAUAUCAUUGCUUAUUCCCGGGAAAAGCGCGAGUAGAUUCGGACGCCGGGGCAGCGCCUUAGGCAUAGGAGCCGUGGAAGAGUCCCUGAUUGUCCCUGGGAAGAGCCCCACAAGGAAGAAGUCUGGUCCUUUUGGCUCACGCCGCAGCAGUGCCAUCGGCAUUGAGAACAUCCAGGAGGUGCAGGAGAAGAGGGAGAGCCCACCAGCUGGCCAGAAGACCCCAGACAGUGGGCACGUCUCACAGGAGCCCAAGUCAGAGAACUCUUCCACGCAGAGCUCUCCAGAGAUGCCCACGACCAAGAACAGAGUGGAGACGGCCGCUCAGAGAGCAGAAGCGCUGCAGGGCUUCUCCAGGUCCUCGUCCAGUGCCAGCAGCUUUGCCAGCGUGGUGGAGGAGACGGAGGGCGUAGACGGGGAUGACACAGGCCUGGAGAGCGUGUCGUCCUCAGGAACUCCCCAUAAGCGGGACUCCUUCCUCUACAGCACAUGGCUGGACGACAGCGUGAGCACUACAAGCGGGGGCAGCUCCCCAGUGAGGUGGCUCCCUCCUGCCCCCCUUCCCAGGCCUCACACGGUCACCCCACCCAGACGCCGGCAAGUCGGGGGACCCUGCGUGUCCAGAGAUCAAGAUCCAACUGGAAACAUCUGAGCAGCACACACCCCAGAUGGGCUGCUAGCUGCCACCUCUAUCAGAAGGCAGGACUGAGCAGACGAGGCCUCAGAAGCACAAGGAGAAGAUGCUGCAACACAUCCAGGCAGCUGGCCCUCUGCCCCACAGCCUCCUCGGCCCCUGGAGCCCCUGCCUCUAAGCCCCAGGCCCACCUAUCUGGGCUGUCUCUGCAGGGCGGAGCCAUCCAGAGCUGGGAGUGGAUGCUGCUGGCAUCACCCUGCCCCCCCCCCC